rnacentral:snRNA from 1 species
AUACUUGCCUGGCAGGGAAAAUACCGUAAUCAUGAAGGUGGUUUUCCCAUGGCGAGACUUACCCAUUGCACUCCUGUGAUUCCCCAAAUGUGGGAAACUGGACGGUAUAAUUUGUGGGAGUGGUGGACUGCGUUUGCACUUUCCCCUG